rnacentral:rRNA from 1 species
GACGAACGCUGGCGGCGUGCUUAAAACAUGCAAGUCGAACGAAGUGGCGAACGGGUGAGUAACGCGGAAAAAACCUGCCCUUCAGAGGGGACAACAGUUGGGAACGACUGCUAAAACCGCAUAGUGAAGGAGGGGAGUGCGUCUGAUUCGCUAGUUGGAGGGGUAACGGCCCACCAAGGCGGUGAUCAGUAGCCGGUCUGAGAUGAUGAACGGCCACAUUGGGACGGAGAAACGGCCCAGACUCCUACGGGAGGCAGCAGUGGGGAAUCGUCCGCAAUGGACGAAAGUCUGACUGAGCAACGCCGCGUGAGUGAGGACGGGCUUCGGGUUGUAAAGCUCUGUUAAUCGGGACGCGGUACCGGAAUAGAAAGCCACGGCUAACUACGUGCCAGCAGCCGCGGUAAUAC